GUGUAUUUCUAGUGUAGAUUCAUUUACUGCUAAGUCUUUGACAUGCAUCGUAGUUCAUUUUAUCCAUUUUAGUAUAGGCCUACCAGCCACAGGCACAAGUUACCAUCAAACCUUCCUGCUCGAUUGAAUGCAAUGCUACUGUCAUACUAUGUAUCUUCUUAACUCAUCAGUUUUAAUCCUGUGUGUAUUUUUGUCAAGUAUGUUUGUAAACUGAAAUUGUGUGCUUACAUUUAUGUUGGUGUUGUAAUCUGUGUUGGUGUUGUUGUUGUAUCUAAAUUUCCCCACUUUUCAUUGCGACAGGUACAAAUUGCUUGCAUUAUAUUAUUGCAUGUUACUGCUGUACAGGCUGUGCGAGACGCAGCAAGGAGAGACCAGGCUCAGGCAGAAGACAACACCAUGGACCUCAACACAUUCCACACCCGGUGGAGAUGGACGAGUGACCUGACCUGAGAUUUCGUUUUCUUUUCAGAUCUACACCUCCACCACCAUCAUAUAUGUCAAUGCCUCACAGCUGUGAAGCUGCCACUCCCUCCCAAACUCAUGGCACAGCACCCAGCCAUUCGGAAGAUUUGAGGCACAAACAUCAUCCAUUCAAAAACAUCUGGAAUGUCCUGGAGGAACACAAGAAGACCCUUUUGAGGAUAACAGAAUUCAUAAAGUACAUGCCAUGGAAGAGCACAUGGGGCCAAUGACAAGGAAGAUGGAGGUUAUGGAGAGGAAGUCCAUGACUUUGAAGGCUGCCAUGGCUUUGAACAUGCCACGACCUGCUGUUGGUCCAGUGCAGCAGAGAGCAUAAGCUGGUGGAGCUAGUAUAAUGUACUGGUUUGGCUAAUGAAGAUAGACCACAUAAUGUUUUCCAUAUUAGUUUUCAUAUUUCAUUUUCAUCAUCUGCUUUAAUUUUUGUAGACCUUGGGAAAGCCUGGGAUGGGCGAAUACGGCAGCUGCUGUCCGCUGUGGGUGGCUACCCACACACCAUGUCCUGGGACAUUACAGCCUGAGGAGGAAUAGAACGUGCAUGCAUUCCAGAACCUGACCCUUUACAAAGUUAUAACAGAGACCUACACGCAGAACUUCUCUGUCCUGCAGGAAGCGAAUAUUGAGAAUAGCAUUGGGCAUACUCUGAAAUUUGGACUACACAGAUGGUCAGCUGGUCCUCAAGACUGAAAACACACACCAACAUUUUUAUUUUCUGUAUUUUAUUUAUCGUUUUUAUUUAUUUAUUUAUUUUACUUCGAGCCUUGAAGGCAUUUUAUGAUGGAAUUGUAAUACAAUGUUGCACUGUUCUCACCCAUGUUGAAUUCCUGAUAUUUGUCAAUUAGGCAUUCCCUCAGCCUCAAGACUGGAAACACAUUAUAUGCACUCACAUCCAUUUUUGCCAUCUUCAUUCUUAUUUUGUACAUUUUACAUUGUUUGGUUUUGUUGUUUGUUUGUUUUUUUUGCCUUGUUUGCAUUUUAUUAUGAAAAAACAUUGUAAUGUUGCACUGUUACCCUCUUACCUAUGUUGUAUUCCUGAUAUUUUCCUAUUAAACAUCAUCAUCCUUCAACAUUUGCCUUGUCAUUUCAAAUGCAUUCAACACUUUAAUAAUGAAUUAGACCUACAAACUACAGAAAUAUGACAACAUUAUGGGCAUU